rnacentral:tRNA from 1 species
GGCCCGUUGGUCAAGCGGUUAAGACAUCGCCCUUUCACGGCGGUAUCAGGGGUUCGAAUCCCCUACGGGUCACCA